AUUCUUAAUAUGUGUUUUCGAUCUUUUACCAUUUUCAUAAUAACUAAUGAUUUGGUAUACUGCCUGGUCUAAGCGGUACGUGCACCACAAAUUAGAGGCAUGAAGAAGAGAGUACAAUACGCCGUUGGUUUUGCUAUAAUUGUCAAGUAGAUGAAUCUUAUGAUGAAUAUUAGAACAAGCAUCUCAAAAGCACGACUAAUGAUAUAGAUGUCGGCAUACUUUUGUUGGCUUUUGCGAUCAUUCGGUUUUCAAUCUCCUAGAGUAAAAUUAAGAGGAGCAGCACCAGCAUUAAAAGCAUCAGCGGCAAUACCAACUAUGAAAACAUAACAAAGGAUACGAUAGGUGAGGGACCAAGAGCUGAAGAGGGGCCUCCGUAUCCUUAUCCAGAUGCUUAUCAGAGGGGGGUUUCUUCUGUAGUGGCUUCUAGUCUCUUUCUAGGCAUUUCCAAGCGCCUUCCUUUUUGGAGUCCAUAAUAUAUACAUUAUUCACAA